rnacentral:rRNA from 1 species
AUUGAACGCUGGCGGCAUGCCUAACACAUGCAAGUCGAACGGCAGCACAGUAUGUAGCAAUACAUAUGGGUGGCGAGUGGCGGACGGGUGAGUAACGCGUGGGAAUCUGCCCUAUAGUGGGGGACAACCCGACGAAAAGUCGGGCUAAUACCGCAUACGCCCUACGGGGGAAAGGCUUCGGCCGCUAUUGGAUGAGCCCGCGUCGGAUUAGCUAGUUGGUGAGGUAAUGGCUCACCAAGGCGACGAUCCGUAGCUGGUCUGAGAGGACGAUCAGCCACACUGGGACUGAGACACGGCCCAGACUCCUACGGGAGGCAGCAGUGGGGAAUAUUGCACAAUGGGCGAAAGCCUGAUGCAGCAAUGCCGCGUG